rnacentral:misc_RNA from 1 species
ACAAACUUGGUCAUUUAGAGGAAGUAAAAGUCGUAACAAGGUUUCCGUAGGUGAACCUGCGGAAGGAUCAUUACUGAAUAAAAUCUGGUUCGGUUGGGUAGUCGCUGGCCUCCUGGAGGCAUGUGCACACCCUACCACCAACCACCUCAUUCAUCUAUCUAUACUUACCUGUGCACCUUCUUGUAGGAUCAGGAUUUUGUAUCACUGUUUCUUCAAACCUCCCUCUACUGGGGGGAGGGGGAGAAAAAAAGUGUUUUGGAAUCUUUGCUGUACACGUCCACAUGCAUGUUGACAGCUUUUCCUGGAUGCAUAAUUCCUGGCCCUAUGCCCUUUUUUUUCACCACACCUUAUAUAUAUAUGCACUUUGAACGCAUGUGAAUUAUAUUAUAAUAUGUAUGUGUAUACAACUUUCAACAACGGAUCUCUUGGCUCUCGCAUCGAUGAAGAACGCAGC